CGGUGUUCAACUGGCGUGUCCGCGGGACGUCCUGCCGGUGGGCUUAGCCCGCAAGGGCGGCCCAACUUCAAAUCCCAUCGCGGUGCUCUUCACUGAGUGUCGAGGUGGGCCGGCACGUUUACUUUGAACAAAUUAGAGUGCUUAAAGCAGGCUAAAACUUCGCCUGAAUACUGUGUGCAUGGAAUAAUGGAAUAGGACCUCGGUUCUAUUUUGUUGGUUUUCGGAACCCCGAGGUAAUGAUUAAUAGGAACGGAUGGGGGCAUUCGUAUUGCGACGUUAGAGGUGAAAUUCUUGGAUCGUCGCAAGACGGACAGAAGCGAAAGCAUUUGCCAAAAACGCUUUCAUUGAUCAAGAACGAAAGUUAGAGGUUCGAAGGCGAUCAGAUACCGCCCUAGUUCUAACCAUAAACGAUGCCAGCUAGCGAUCCGUCGACGUUCCUCCGAUGACUCGACGGGCAGCUUCCGGGAAACCAAAGCUUUUGGGUUCCGGGGGAAGUAUGGUUGCAAAGCUGAAACUUAAAGGAAUUGACGGAAGGGCACCACCAGGAGUGGAGCCUGCGGCUUAAUUUGACUCAACACGGGAAACCUCACCAGGCCCGGACACCGGAAGGAUUGACAGAUUGAGAGCUCUUUCUUGAUUCGGUGGGUGGUGGUGCAUGGCCGUUCUUAGUUGGUGGAGCGAUUUGUCUGGUUAAUUCCGAUAACGAACGAGACUCUAGCCUGCUAACUAGGCGUAUUUUCGACAUCUCAAAGGUCCGUCGUCCCGGCCCUCGGGUCAUGGGCGUGCGCGAUUUUUACUGUCGGCGUACUAUCAAUUCUUCUUAGAGGGACAGGUGGCUUCUAGCCGCACGAGAUUGAGCAAUAACAGGUCUGUGAUG
rnacentral:rRNA from 1 species